AUGAACGCUAGCUACAGGCUUAACACAUGCAAGUCGAGGGGCAGCAUGGUCUUAGCUUGCUAAGGCCGAUGGCGACCGGCGCACGGGUGAGUAACGCGUAUCCAACCUGCCUUACACUCUUGGACAGCCUUCUGAAAGGGAGAUUAAUACAAGAUGUUAUCAUGAGUAAGCAUUUUCGCAUGAUUAAAGGUUUACCGGUGUAAGAUGGGGAUGCGUUCCAUUAGAUAGUAGGCGGGGUAACGGCCCACCUAGUCUUCGAUGGAUAGGGGUUCUGAGAGGAAGGUCCCCCACAUUGGAACUGAGACACGGUCCAAACUCCUACGGGAGGCAGCAGUGAGGAAUAUUGGUCAAUGGACGAGAGUCUGAACCAGCCAAGUAGCGUGAAGGAUGAAGGUUCUAUGGAUUGUAAACUUCUUUUAUACGGGAAUAAACGGAUCCACGUGUGGAUUUUUGCAUGUACCGUAUGAAUAAGGAUCGGCUAACUCCGUGCCAGCAGCCGCGGUAAUACGGAGGAUCCGAGCGUUAUCCGGAUUUAUUGGGUUUAAAGGGAGCGUAGAUGGGUUGUUAAGUCAGUUGUGAAAGUUUGCGGCUCAACCGUAAAAUUGCAAUUGAUACUGGCAGUCUUGAGUACAGUUGAGGUAGGCGGAAUUCGUGGUGUAGCGGUGAAAUGCUUAGAUAUCACGAAGGACUCCGAUUGCGAAGGCAGCUUACUAACCUGUAACUGACAUUGAUGCUCGAAAGUGUGGGUAUCAAACAGGAUUAGAUACCCUGGUAGUCCACACGGUAAACGAUGAAUACUCGCUGUAGGCGAUAUACAGUCUGCGGCCAAGCGAAAGCAUUAAGUAUUCCACCUGGGGAGUACGCCGGCAACGGUGAAACUCAAAGGAAUUGACGGGGGCCCGCACAAGCGGAGGAACAUGUGGUUUAAUUCGAUGAUACGCGAGGAACCUUACCCGGGCUUAAAUUGCAACCGAAUAUGGCGGAAACGCUAUAGCUAGCAAUAGCGGUUGUGAAGGUGCUGCAUGGUUGUCGUCAGCUCGUGCCGUGAGGUGUCGGCUUAAGUGCCAUAACGAGCGCAACCCUUGCCGAUAGUUACUAACAGGUCAUGCUGAGGACUCUGUCGGGACUGCCAUCGUAAGAUGUGAGGAAGGUGGGGAUGACGUCAAAUCAGCACGGCCCUUACGUCCGGGGCUACACACGUGUUACAAUGGGGGGUACAGAGGGCUGCUACCACGCAAGUGGAUGCCAAUCCCAAAAACCUCUCUCAGUUCGGAUUGAAGUCUGCAACCCGACUUCAUGAAGCUGGAUUCGCUAGUAAUCGCGCAUCAGCCACGGCGCGGUGAAUACGUUCCCGGGCCUUGUACACACCGCCCGUCAAGCCAUGGGAGCCGGGGGUACCUGAAGUGCGUAACCGCAAGGAGCGCCCUAGGGUAAAACUGGUGACUGGGGCU
rnacentral:rRNA from 1 species